UACGUAGGGUGCGAGCGUUAAUCGGAAUUACUGGGCGUAAAGUGUGCGCAGGCGGUUUUAUAAGCCAGAUGUGAAAUCCCCGGGCUUAACCUGGGAAUGGCGUUUGGGACUGGGUCGCUAGAGUGUAGCAGAGGGAGGUGGAAUUCCACGUGUAGCAGUGAAAUGCGUAGAGAUGUGGAGGAACACCGAUGGCGAAGGCAGCCUCCUGGGCCAGCACUGACGCUCAUGCACGAAAGCGUGGGGAGCAAACAGG
rnacentral:rRNA from 1 species